rnacentral:rRNA from 1 species
AUUGAACGCUGGCGGAAUGCUUUACACAUGCAAAUCGAACGGCAGCACGGACUUCGGUUUGGUGGCGAGUGGCGAACGGGUGAGUAAUGUAUCGGAACGUGCCCAGUCGUGGAGGAUAACGUAGUGAAAAUUACGCUAAUACCGCAUACGAUCUAUGGAUGAAAGCGGGGGAUCGCAAGACCUCGCGCGAUUGGAGCGGCCGAUAUCAGAUUAGGUAGUUGGUGGGGUAAAGGCCCACCAAGCCAACGAUCUGUAGCUGGUCUGAGAGGACGACCAGCCACACUGGAACUGAGACACGGGCCAGACUUCUACGGGAGGCAGCAGUGGGGAAUUUUGGACAAUGGGCGAAAGCCUGAUCCAGCCAUUCCGCGUGCAGGAUGAAGGCCCUCGGGUUGUAAACUGCUUUUGUACAGAACGAAAAGGUUUCUACUAAUACUAGGAGCUCAUGACGGUACUGUAAGAAUAAGCACCGGCUAACUACGUGCCAGCCGCCGCCGUAA